rnacentral:sRNA from 1 species
UUUUAUAAUAAUAAUUAAUUAAAUUAUUACUUCAAUAGGUUAACCCAUUUAACAACUCAAUUCAUCAAAUUAAAUGAGUUAUGGGUUGACCCAACUCAUUUUGUUAAAUGGGUUGGGUCAACCCAUAACUCAUUUAACCCUAAACUCAUUUGAUUAUGAGUUGAGUUGAGUUGGGUUAGCCAUUUUGACACCCCUACAUAUUGUAUACAAGUCUAACUUACAAUAA